rnacentral:rRNA from 1 species
CCUACGGGUGGCAGCAGUGAGGAAUAUUGGUCAAUGGGCGAGAGCCUGAACCAGCCAAGUCGCGUGAAGGAUGAAGGCUCUAUGGUUUGUAAACUUCUUUUAUAUGGAAGUAAAGUGAGGAACGUGUUCCUUUUUGUAUUUACCAUAUGAAUAAGCAUCGGCUAACUCCGUGCCAGCAGCCGCGUUACUCCGGAGGAUGCGAUCGUUAUCCGGAUUUAGUGGGUUUAAAGUGUGCGUAUGUGGUUUAUUAAGUUAGAGGUGAAAGUUUGGGGCUCAACCAUAAAAUUGCCGUUGAAACUGGUUGAAUUGAGUAUAUUUGAGGUAGGCGGAAUGCGUGGUGUAGCGGUGAAAUGCAUAGAUAUCACGCAGAAUUCCGAUUGCGAAGGCAGCUUACUAAACUAUAACUGACACUGAAGUGCGAAAGCGUGGGGAUCAAACAGGAUUAGAUACCCGUGUAGUC